rfam:Oryza sativa (indica cultivar-group) chromosome 2, whole genome shotgun sequence.
AAAAAGACAAACACUGGUUUCGUGUCCAACGUUUGACCGUCCGUUUUAUUUGAAAAAAUUAUAAAAAAAAUUAAAAAAAUAAGUCACGCAUAAAAUAUUAAUCAUGUUUUAUCAUCUAACAACAACGCAAGUACGAAUUACAAAAAAAUUUCAUAUAAGACGAACAGUCAAAUUGGAUACGGAAACCAAGAACUUGUCUUUUU